UGAGGAAUAUCGCGCAAUGGGGGCAACCCUGACGCAGCAACGCCGCGUGAGUGAGGAAGGUUUUCGGAUUGUAAAGCUCUGUCGAGCGGAAAGAAAUGCCCGGUGGUUAAUACCCAUCAGGCUUGACGGUACCGCUAAAGGAAGCACCGGCUAACUCCGUGCCAGCAGCCGCGGUAAUACGGGGGGUGCAAGCGUUGUUCGGAAUCAUUGGGCGUAAAGCGCGUGUAUGCGGCUUAACAAGUCAGGUGUGAAAUCCCUGGGCUUAACCCAGGAAGUGCAUUUGAAACUGUUUGGCUUGAGUAAGGGAGAGGAAAGUGGAAUUCCUGGUGUAGAGGUGAAAUUCGUGGAUAUCAGGAGGAACACCGGUGGCGAAGGCGACUUUCUGGCCCUAUACUGACGCUGAGACGCGAAAGCGUGGGUAGCAAACA
rnacentral:rRNA from 1 species